GACGAACGCUGGCGGCGUGCCUAAUACAUGCAAGUAGAACGCACAGUUUAUACCGUAGCUUGCUACACCAUAGACUGUGAGUUGCGAACGGGUGAGUAACGCGUAGGUAACCUGCCUGGUAGCGGGGGAUAACUAUUGGAAACGAUAGCUAAUACCGCAUAAUAUUAAUUAUUGCAUGAUAAUUAAUUGAAAGGUGCAAUUGCACCACUACCAGCUGGACCUGCGUUGUAUUAGCUAGUAGGUGAGGUAACGGCUCACCUAGGCGACGAUACAUAGCCGAACUUGAGAGGGGGUCGGCCAAACUGGGAAUGGGACACCGCCCAGGCUUCUACGGGGGGGAACAGUAGGGGAACUUUGGGCAAUGAGGGAAGUCUGACCGAGGCACGCCGGGGGGGGGGAGGAGGUUUUCGGGUUGGAAAGCUCUGUUGUAAGGGAAGGAAGGGUGUGGGAGUGGAAAGUUCACACUGUGACGGUAUCUUACCAGAAAGGGACGGCUAACUACGUG
rnacentral:rRNA from 1 species